UGCCUCGCUUUCAGGGGACUGCGGAGGGUAUCCCCCGCCCCACCCACAGUCCCGAGGCCUCGGGAUAGGGUGGCAUGUCGCAGAGUGUCGCGGCUGUGCAAAUUUGGAAGCCCACAGCAUCGCCUGACCUCUUGUGCAAUCCCCAACGCUAGCCUGUCUAACCCUGAGUGGGCUUCAGCAACCGGUCGUGUCAGCGGCCCCUGCACGUUUGCACCCGCGGUUUCCGCUGUCUGCAGGCUGCAGAGACUGGGGCAUUCCAAACGUGAAAGCGCAAUGAAGGAAAAUGCAGACUGAGCGAGGACGCCGAAAUUUGGCUAAGCUAUUGAGAAGGCUACAAUAUGUGGAAGUGUUUAUCAGAUAUCUGGGCCGAGAGCAUAACUUCCUGUCAGCCCAAAUAGUGGCAAAAAUAUUUUAAAGGCCAAAGAAUAAUCAGAGGCAGGGGAUUUGGAGCUGACCGGCGUUGAGCUGAGUGUUGCUGCACUUUGCAGGGCUGCUUGAUUGGAUACUGUGCCAGGCGCUAGGGGUACAAUCAAGAUGAAUCCCCAGAAAUAGUCCUUGCAAACCCCAAGAUGCACACAAGAAUCAUUGACUGCUAUCCAAAUACCCUACAUGAGUGAUUGCAAACUGAUGGCCAUCUGGCCCUGAAAUACUCAGAGAUUCACCCUCACUCUUCCUGGUGCCCUUGGAACCCUCUGUGAUUUUGCCCUCAUUCCUUGCAUGCGAUACCAACGGAGUCCUUUUUAAUUACUUCCCUGACUACCUCCCAAACCUCCCUAUUGAUCACCCAAACUGACUCACUUAUAUGCUCAUAUGAUUUGGCCGUGUCUCCACCCAAAUCUCAUCUUGAAUCUUGAAUUGUAGCUCCCAUUAUCCCCACCU